CCCGCCACCCCCCCCCCCCGCCCCAGGGUGGAGGGCCCUCCUGCUGCCGGUCCGCACUCCACGUCCUGCUGGGAGCUCCCAUUUUCCCGCUUUCCAGGAUCAGGGGGCUCCGUGACCAUACUGCAGGUUGCACCAAAACCCUCCACAGACUCCUUUGCCCCCUACAAACAUGCCCCCACCCCAGGAGGCAGGAAGCGGGGAAAAGAUCCAUCACAGUUACGGCCCACGGUGCUGCGCUUGGGGCACUGAAUGCACGGGGUCUGGACGGGACCAGGAAAAAUAAAACGGACUCACAUGUUCAAGCACCUCAAGAGGAAAGUAGUCCCACUGCGGCCUCAGUGAGUCACGACGCAGCCCAGUGCCCGCCUGUGACGAUGCCCAGCAAGUGUCUCGUGGAUUAACUAAUCUGUCCUUUUAUUUUGUGUUUAUCAAGGCCCUCGUUCCGUAAAACCACGGUAACAAGAGUUAGAAGUCACAUGGCUAAGCAGACAAAAUUGUCACGCAUGAGGGACGUUCAACAGAAUGUAAAUACGUACGUGCACCCCAUUUUUAGUUCUAGAAACCACGUUUUUAAGUAUCAGAACAUGUGGUUUCUGCAGCUUCGAGACAGCAAUUUUAUUAUCACUUCCCCAUCCUGAGAGUUUGAUUUUCUUUGGCUUAAAGUUUGAAUAAAUAUAUAGAUAAUGCACCAUGCAGCAUCUGGUCAGAACGCUGUACUUUGGAGGUUAAUUUAUGGUCAGUCGGAAUAUUUUGAAGCUGGCUUAUUAAUUGUUUACUUUACAAAUUACUUGCUUAGAAAAUAUUUCUCUCGCAAUGCACCAACUUUACAUUCUUUAAUGUGAGAGAUUAUUUUCUCCAGCUGACAAAACCUGACAGCUUUGAAACAAGGUCAUUAUUCGCUCCUAACUUUCUUUGAAAUAUUUUUAUCGGUCACAUUUCACCGGAGCCGAUGUAAAUGACGAUACAACUCUACUUUUGUGUGAACCUGAGCUCCUACCGCAGGACUCGGGGCUUCGCUGAGCUGGCUGCCUGGAUGUAGAGCUGCCUGGGGGCUCUGUGCUGGGCACCUCUCCUUGGCGUGUGCACGUCUGGUCACCACCCAGGAGGGCCCCAGAGGCCUGUGUCCAGUCAAGACCCAGUCGCGGUCCAGGAGGGCCCCAGAGAGGCCUGUCCAGUCACGACCCAGCCACGGCCCAGGAGGGCCCCAGAGACCCGAGGUGCAGCUGUAUCCAGGCUCACUGUCUCCCCAGGUCUUUCUGUGGAAGCCUCCCCCCCACCCCCUCCACUGGACGGGAGUCUGGCUGAUAAACACUCAUGGCACACGUAGAUCUGGACAGACACACUGCGGGUCAGCCUGUGACCUGUACAGUUUGAGAGACAGAAGUGAGGCCGUGGGCACCCUUGAGUCUGGACCCAGAGUAGGGUCCCAGGAGGGCUCAGCCCAGGGAGGAACAAAGUGGCACACUUUGGCAAUCUCUACUGAUGCAGGGGGAUUUCGUUUUUGUCAAAAAUACACGCACGGCCCUGUGGGUCUAAGGAACAGGGUGAGUCCCUUCUGCACACCCUGCCUGGGGUUCCUGGCGGAAGUCACCGUACCCAUCGGCACGCAGAGGGGGUGCGUUUCCAUCAUUCCUGCAAAGUCGAGACUUACGCACCUCGUCUUUACGGCCCGUGUUCAGACAAGUCACGACAGCAACAGCAGACGAGAUCAGGGUGCAUAGGGAGGCAGAGAGCUGCCUGCAGGUUGGGAGAUCCGGGAAUCAGCACACACGCUUAAAAAGGAAAAGUGUGCAAACUUUAUUCCUGCUGAUUGGGUUUCAGCACCAGGGCUCAGUAACGUGAGGACACAAACUCAGAGAUGAGAACAGAACCAAGUCCUCAGAGUCAGUCGACAGUGACACGCAGGGGCCCUCACGGUUUAUGGCUUCAGAGAAGGAAGACUCGACAUUCUUGUCUGACCUUUUUCUUUAAAUGAGCACUCUUCGGAAAUGGCUGGACCUUCUUCCUGAAGGACUCCCCACGCUCCAGCUCUCCUGCGUGAGAUGAUUGUGUCCCGAAGAGAACUUUCCGGGGGGAUGUACACCCCCUGGGAGCUGUGACUGUCCUUAGAAGGCUGGCGUCUCCAGAUCAGACGCCCCACGGAACUCUCUAGAAUUCAGCUUUCGGAUCUGAAAAGCAGAAGGCAGGUUCAAAGUCUCCAAGUCUGUGAUGCUGGCUGAGCCCUUGUUUGCGGCCCCAGGGAGAAUGCCUGAGCUCCCCGGCCUGGGGGUCGCAGCCGCACCUGCCCCACAGUGCACUCCCCCAGACCCUUGCGGAGGGAGGGCCACCCAGCACGUGGGCUAAUCGCUUCUCCCAAAACCCCAGGGAUGAUCCACAUGGAGUUUCGCCUUCUUAUGACAUAUUCAGAAUAGACAGGGCCGGAGCGGAGGGGCAGUGGAGAGGCUGUGUGGAAGGCGCCCGUGCUGGGGUCUCCACGCUUGAAACCCUGCCGGACACCCUGGCAGGUGGUGGGAAUCUGCUGGGGUCUCCGCCUUCAGGAACUUGCUGUCUCCAGACCCACAGAUGCUCCUGACUAUGGACGCAUUUAUUUGUUCCUGCAAGGGAAUCAUUAGUUACAUUUUAGGACAGAGGCCACCUGCCUGGCAUACUCACCUCUUUGUUUCCUGGGAUAUGCUGGGCUACGUCAUUCCAAAUACAGACAGUUACCUUUCGAAAAGUAGUUUUAUUCCUGGGGCGCCUGGUGGCUCGGUGGUUAAGUGUCCAACUCUCAGUUUUGGCUCAGGUCAUGAUCCCAGGGUCGUGUGAUCAAGCCCCUCAUCAGGCUCUGUGUUGAGAGCAGACUCCGCUCCAUAUUCUCUCCCUCUCCCUCUGCCCCUCCCCUGCUCAUUCGCGCUCUCUCAAAAUAAAUAAACGUUAAAGAAAUAAAAAUAGUUUUAUUCCUAUAAGGUGUGUAAUGUUUGAAAACAUUCUGAUAUUCCAUUUAUUCUUACAAACAAAUGCGUUUCCUUUGAUGAAGUGUUGAUUGUGUGAAGAUACGUUAGUAACAGAAGCUCUUUGUGUGCGUCACGGGAAGGAGCCUGCUACGUGAUCUUGUGGAACCUCACGUUUUAACCGGAUUGGAGUCGUAAAUGACUCCCUCACUCCGCUGGGGAUGCUGUAACAAAAUGGCGCCAGCUGGGUGCCUUACAAACAAGAGCCAUUUACUUCCGGCUGCUCCGGAGGCCCAAGUCCCAGAUGAACAAGCGACUUCGUGUCUGGUGAGACGGUUGACUCAGCACCUGGCUGUGUCCUCGCGGGGACGGGCCCUGUGUGGUCCCUUACAAGGGCCCCAGUCCCAACUCAGGGGCUCCACCUUGUGACCUAAUCACUUCCCAAAGCCCCUCUGUCCUCACACGGUCACGCUGCGGGUUAGCCUUCAGUGUACAAAUUUUGAGGGGACAUGAGCAUUUAGACCAUAGGACUUGUUAAACAUUUCGAACAUAAAAUAAA